CACAAAUUCAGAAAGAAAUGAGGCAGCCUGGCCUUGUCCCUGUGCCCAUGGCCGGGUUCCAGGAGGACAAGGAGAAGCAUGCAGUCUUUUGAGGCAGAGCUUGUGAACUGGCACAGCAAUAUAGCUGCCACCUUCUACUGGCCAAAGCAAGUCACAAGCCAGGGAGAUGCAAAGGGUGGAGAAAUAGAUCCCACCUUUGACGGAAGGCAUGUUAAAGCCAUGUGGCAAAAGAAAUAAUAGGACACAUUUGUUGCAAGUUGUCUUAUCCACAAGAAUUUGCAUAGAAUUAUAGGAUUAUAUUGAUCAGAAGAGGAAUGUACCACAUUAGACGAGGAAAACGUAUGGAGGUUAGUUAGUAGAAUUAGCAGUAAGCCGGUGAUUUCACAGCAACGUGUGCAGGUUACAUGACGAUA